rnacentral:misc_RNA from 1 species
GUUCACCAACUCAAAGAAGCCCCAAUUCUCACAAGCAUCUUUGAUCAUUUCCAUGGUGUUGGCUCUCUCAUCUCCAUUGAGCUUUUCCAAGUUAAUAAUUGGGAAGUUCUCCAUCUUAAUUUCUUGGUAAAGUGUUUUCCUAAGUGUAUUGAAUAAAUAGAAUAUGUGAAUACAAAAGAUUGAAGAGAUGAAUAUCAAUGUUUGAUCCCAGGCACUGUCGGGUUCCUUUCGU